UACGUAGGGGGGCUAGCGUUGUCCGGAAUCAUUGGGCGUAAAGCGCGUGUAGGCGGUCCGGUAAGUCCGCUGUGAAAGUCGGGGGCUCAACCCUCGAAUGCCGGUGGAUACUGUCGGGCUAGAGUACGGAAGAGGCGAGUGGAAUUCCUGGUGUAGCGGUGAAAUGCGCAGAUAUCAGGAGGAACACCAAUUGCGAAGGCAGCUCGCUGGGACGUUACUGACGCUGAGACGCGAAAGCGUGGGGGAGCAAACAGG
rnacentral:rRNA from 1 species